UACAGAGGUCCCCAAGCGUUGUUCGGAUUCACUGGGCGUAAAGGGUGCGUAGGUGGCCGGGUAAGUUUGACGUGAAAUCUCCGGGCUUAACUCGGAAACUGCGUUGAAUACUAUCCGGCUGGAGGUUCGGAGGGGGGACUGGAAUUCUCGGUGUAGCAGUGAAAUGCGUAGAUAUCGAGAGGAACACCAGUGGCGAAGGCGAGUCCCUGGACGACACCUGACACUGAGGCACGAAAGCCGGGGGAGCAAACAGGAUUAGAUACCCUAGUAGU
rnacentral:rRNA from 1 species